ACAAAUCAGAUAUGGGAUGUCGAGCAAUCGACACACCAAUAUAUCAACCCGAACCUGGCAGCAAUGCCGGGUGAGGUGCAGCACUGUAUUGUGCUGCGGUCGGCCUGGAAGUGUUAUGCGGAAGGGCUGGCCACAUAGACGCUUGUAUGUUUGACAGUUUUGUGUGAUUAAUACAAAAAUGA
rnacentral:misc_RNA from 1 species